GGCGGGGUAGCUUAGUUGGUUCAAAGCGCCGGAUUCAUAAACCGGAGAAUUCGCGGGUUCGACUCCCGCCCCCGCUA
rnacentral:tRNA from 2 species